AGAGUUUGAUCCUGGCUCAGGAUGAACGCUAGCGGCAGGCCUAACACAUGCAAGUCGAGGGGCAGCGCGGUGUAGCAAUACACUGGCGGCGACCGGCAGAAGGGUGCGUAACGCGUGAACAACAUGCCCGACACAGGGGGAUAAGCGGUGGAAACGCCGUCUAAUACCGCAUAACGCUUAUGGGCGGCAUCGCCCGAAAGCCAAAUUCGCGAGAAGGUGUCGGAUUGGUUCGCGAGACAUUAGCCAGUUGGCGGGGUAACGGCCCACCAAAGCGAUGAUGUCUAGGGGUUCUGAGAGGAAGGUCCCCCACACUGGAACUGAGACACGGUCCAGACUCCUACGGGAGGCAGCAGUGAGGAAUAUUGGACAAUGGUCGGAAGACUGAUCCAGCCAUGCCGCGUGAAGGGAAAGGUCCUAUGGAUUUUCAACUUCUUUUGUACGGGGGCAAUAAGGUCCACGCGUGGGCCGAUGAGAGUACCGUACGAAUAAGCAUCGGCUAACUCCGUGCCAGCAGCCGCGGUAAUACGGAGGAUGCAAGCGUUAUCCGGAUUUAUUGGGUUUAAAGGGUGCGUAGGCGGAUUUUCAAGUCAGUGGUGAAAUACCCGGGCCAAACCCGGGAGCUGCCGUUGAAACUGGGAGUCUAGGAUACGGUUGCCGUGGGAGGAAUGAGUAGUGUAGCGGUGAAAUGCAUAGAUAUUACUCAGAACACCGAUUGCGAAAGCAUCUCACGAAGCCGUCAUUGACGCUGAGGCACGAAAGUGUGGGGAUCGAACAGGAUUAGAUACCCUGGUAGUCCACACAGUAAACGAUGAUAACUAGCUGUCGGCGAUAUACAGUCGGAGGCUAAGCAAAAGCGAUAAGUUAUCCACCUGGGGAGUACGACCGCAAGGUU
rnacentral:rRNA from 1 species